rnacentral:rRNA from 1 species
AAAUUUUCAACAACGGAUCUCUUGGUUCUGGCAUCGAUGAAAAACGCACCGAAAUGCGAUAAGUAAGGUGAAUUGCAAAAUUCAGGGAAUCAUCAAAUCUUUGAACGCACAUUGCGCCCGCCAGUAUUCUGGCGGGCAUGCCUGUUCAAGCGUCUUUU